rnacentral:misc_RNA from 1 species
GAACCAAGUUUUGCACUCUACUAUUACAAUUUGUCAAAGGUAUUUGCGUUCCCAUCAAAUCAAAUCAACAAUGAAAUGAAAAUCUUUUAACAUCUUGCUGUCAUACUCUCCGUUUGUUAUUAAUUACAGGCUGUGGGGCUUUGAGAAGUUGUUGUUCAGAGACUCGAGAAGUAACAUUAGGAGAGAUCGCAAGUAUGCCAUACAGGCAAAAAAUGCGUAUGCAACAGGUGUGCACAUGUCGGAAAAUGUAGUAGGAGGGACUUUGCACCAGACAGAAACUAAGAUCCGCUACUAUCAUUAUCACAACUCCAUCACGGUACAUGAGGAGCUGUGUCGUGAGUUUUU